GUCAAGGUGCCGGAGUGGUUAACGGGCGGCCCUGCUAAACUCAUAGUAGACCACGCCGUGUCUUUGGACGCGCAGGUCCGAAUCCUGUCCUUGACG